UACGUAGGUGGCAAGCGGUGUCCGGAAUUACUGGGUGUAAAGGGCGUGUAGGCGGGAAAGCAAGUCAGAUGUGAAAUCCCAUGGCUUAACUGUGGAGCUGCAUCUGAAACUGUUUUUCUUGAGUAUCGGAGAGGAAAGUGGAAUUCCAAGUGUAGCGGUGAAAUGCGUAGAGAUUUGGAGGAACACCAGUGGCGAAGGCGGCUUUCUGGACGAUACCUGACGCUGAGGCGCGAAAGCGUGUGGAGCAAACAGG
rnacentral:rRNA from 1 species